CCUACGGGAGGCUGCAGUGAGGAAUAUUGGUCAAUGGUCGUGCGACUGAACCAGCCAAGCCGCGUGAGGGAGGACUGUACUAUGUAUCGUAAACCUCUUUUGUCAGGGAGCAACGCCUGCUACGCGUAGCCGGACUGGGAUUACUGGAAGAAAAAGCAUCGGCAAACUCCGUGCCACCAGCCGCGGUAAUACGGAGGAUGCGAGCGUAAUCCGGAUUUAUUGGGUUUAAAGGGUGCGUAGGCGGAAUGCCAAGUCAGCGGUAAAAUCGCGGGGUUCAACCUCGCUCCGCCGUUGAAACUGGCAUUCUUGAGUGGGAGAGAAGUAUGCGGAAUGCGUGGUGUAGCGGUGAAAUGCAUAGAUAUCGCGCAGAACUCCGAUUGCGAAGGCAGCAUACCGGCGCCACACUGACGCUGAGGCACGAAAGCGUGGGUAUCGAACAGGAGUAGAUACCCGGGUAGUC
rnacentral:rRNA from 1 species